CACAGUUUUUAAUGACCUAUUACAGAUUGCAUAUGUUUCUUUAGAGUGUAAAUUGUGACUUUCUAAUGUCACACACUGAAGUAAAUAGUUCAGUUCUUGGGAUUUCAUGACAUGUUUUUAUUGUUUCUGUCUGAUCUUCAGGUCAUGAGCUCCACGAAUGGAGAGCUGAACACAGACGACCCAACCGCAGGACACUCCAACGCUCCCAUCACUGCACCCGCUGAAGUAGAGGUGGCAGAUGACACAAAGUGCUGUUGUUUUUUUAAGAGAAGAAAGAGGAAAGCUCUUCAGAGGCACAAGUGAAGCGCGCUCUUUGAAAAGAACUUGAAACAUUCUGGUCACUGUUAAGUUUGAAAUGCAAGCAAAUACACCGAUCUCUCUCUCGCUGUCUUUCUCUCUUUCUCUCUAUCUCUCUCUGUCCCCAUCACACUUUCUUUCAUAGAUGCUUCACCACUUAAUGGAGUGCAAAGGAAUGAUGUUGACUGUCCAACAGACUCUGGUUUUUUCCCCAAAAAAAAAAAAAAGAGAAUAAUGAAGAUACAUAAUC